rnacentral:lncRNA from 1 species
GUGUGCUGGAAAUAGGGACGUGUACCACAACAGCCUAGCUAGAAAUGGUUACACAUGAAACCAUCUUCCAUUAGCGCCUUAGUCUAGUACCUCAGUCAUGUGAGGGGUUGGGACUGUGUUGUUACAAUUCAUUCACAGACCAGAGGCUGAGGUUCAGAAAGGGCCAGUGACUUCCCUGAAAUCCAGCAGGUAAAAUCAUGCAAGAGACUGGUGACUUAGGCACUCUCUUGAGAGAUCGUAUUCUCCACAAAGCCUCUGCUGUGACAUUGGUGUGGAAAGGUUAUUUAGGGUGCUGUGCCUGUAGGUUUUGGUGAAAAAAACCAGAAGGUCCUAGAAUCACAUUUUCCGGGGAUCUUUGCAGAAUUCUUCAUUACCUCUGUUUUGAUACCCAACUACGCAUGUCCUGUUCCCAGGCAACUUCCCUGUGGCAUCCAUGUGUGUACAAUGCUACAUGCCUGACUGCAGGUAGAGUCCUUGCCCUCCUACCCUGUCAACCAAAGAUCCAGCAAGUGAAUGAGAAGCAUGGAGACAUGAGAAACAGAAGCCCUUGCCUUCCAGGUGGUUGGAGGUUGCUUUUGCCAGGUCAUCUUUAUAGCAAGAGGAAAAGAAACUAUCACAGAAGGGAAGAGGGGCAGCAAGAGAGAAGCUAGAACUUUCUUGGCCGAAAAUUAUAAUGAAUUAGGUAAAAACCAAAGAAUAAAAAGCCAGGUCCUCAAAGGCAUUGAGCCAAUCCUCCUCCUUCAGAAGACUUCCUUGCGUUUGGCAGAAGACCUAUGGACGGAACUCACCACAGGGUGUGGGUUAGACUGGGAAGUGGAACUGAGGAACUAGUUAGCUUUUGUCACUUCACGGGGUUUCCUCCUGCAAGCUCCUCCCUGCGGAUUACCCCUGGCACCCCAACCUACCCCAUCCUCAAAUGUGUUGCUGCUGCCCCCUGCUGGAUGAACCCUGUCAGACCCCCCACACACACACACACAACCCCUACUGGAAGGCCG